rnacentral:lncRNA from 1 species
UCUCAGAAUAAAAUGGACAGAGGAGAGGCAAGGUGUGAAACCAGAUAAGUCUAUUCAUAAACGUAAGGAAAAUUCCUGAGGAGCUCAGACAGGAAGAUGUUUAAUUUAAUCCCAAGCUUUUCUGAUUUGGGGAUUUGAGCUCUGUAAUACAUCUUGCAUGUUAGGUUGGGCAUUCUCCUAGUCACUCAAAUUGAUUUGAAGUGAACGAUCUGAGGUGAUCUACUGGGGCGAGGAAUAUGGACAGAUAAGCAGAGCAGUGGAGAUAGGGAAGUUUCUGUCUCCUUCCUGGAUUCCUGUCAACGGCUUAGGUACAUACACCUGCUAUCCUCCCACUGUCUGAGUCAACUCUGCCCCUUUCCCAGUGCAAUGUGCAGCUGCCACGUGGAAGUCAAAUUCAAAAGACAUCAAGCUAGGACCCCACCUUGCAUUUGAAUUACUUUUUUUUGAAAUUGUCCACAUCCAAGUUUAUUGAUCCGUGCAGUCUUUUCAAUAUUUCCUUAUGCUGCACAUGGGUGGGGCCAGAGACUUUCUUGUUGUGUCCUGUUAGUCCUCCGAAGUAGAAUGCGUGGAACGGAGUUACAAGGAACUCUGUGCUGGUUUCAAGCCUCAGGGAAAUUCAAGAACCAGAAAGCCAGGCUAGAGGUGAGGUUAGUCAUUUCCCACGUCUGUGACCCCAUUCAGGGGCCUUGUAACGCUAGUGCCCUUCAAGUAACAUAAAACCAGACUCCUCAAAAGGCGUUGCAACAGGUUUCCACGAAUUAUUUAUCAAAGCCGGUGACCCAGGCCCCGUGACGCGUCGAUCUGGAAUUCAUGGCUUUUUCCUAAAGGAAAAGUCAGCCCAUAGUUCCUCCCGGCAUCCUCGGGUACUAUUUGGAUUCCCGGGAGAUUCGGAAGGGCGGAGGGGAGGACAUGGGGCUUCCAUGGAGGGUAGGACGGUGAAGUCCAGGCCGCCGAUGGCCCGCGCCACCCACCAUCGCCCUCGCGAGUGGACAAGUCACGCGGGAACGCCAGCUGUCAGUUCCCUCGCCCUGAGGCUCGGAGGAGCCCGGCCG